UACGUAGGCAGCAAGCGUUGUUCGGAGUUACUGGGCGUAAAGGGUGUGUAGGCGGUUCCUUAAGUUUGCUGUGAAAUCUCCCGGCUUAACCGGGAGGGUGCGGUGAAUACUGAGGGACUAGAGUACGGGAGAGGAAAGUGGAAUUCCUGGUGUAGCGGUGAAAUGCGUAGAUAUCAGGAGGAACACCGGUGGUGUAGACGGCUUUCUAGACCGUAACUGACGCUGAGACACGAAAGCGUGGGUAGCAAACAGG
rnacentral:rRNA from 1 species